UACGAAGGGUGCAAGCGUUAAUCGGAAUUACUGGGCGUAAAGCGUGCGCAGGCGGUUCGGAAAGAAAGGUGUGAAAUCCCAGGGCUUAACCUUGGAACUGCACUUUUAACUACCGGGCUAGAGUACGUCAGAGGGGGGUAGAAUUCCACGUGUAGCAGUGAAAUGCGUAGAGAUGUGGAGGAAUACCGAUGGCGAAGGCAGCCCCCUGGGAUGAUACUGACGCUCAUGCACGAAAGCGUGGGGAGCAAACAGG
rnacentral:rRNA from 1 species